ensembl:lncRNA
CUCACUUACACCCAGUCUCAACCGCAAACACAGCCCUACAACAACAACUCAGUCCAGUCUCCUUCAGAUAAUACUUAUCUGGGUGUGUCUAUAUCCAUACCAAUGUGCGUAGAUGGACAUUUAUCUUUGUGUUUGAGCUAUUUUCCUAAGUAUGUUUGGGCAUAUUUCACAUCUAUUGGAGUGUAUAUGUUGUCAGGAUGGAGGGGUCAGUUCAUCAUUACAGAUCCUCUGAUUGAAGGAGCGAUGAGGAGGCUGGUGACUGGUCCAGUCAGUUUGAUGAUGGGUUGUUGAACAGCUCCCUCUGUUGGUGACUGGUCCAGUCAGUUUGAUGAUGGGCUGUAGAACAGCUCCCUCUGUUGGUGGCUGGUCCAUCCUGUAUGGGAUGAUGGGUUGUUGAACAGCUCCCUCUGUUGGUGGCUGGUCCAGUCAGUUUGAUGAUGGGCUGUAGAACAGCUCCCUCUGUUGGUGACUGGUCCAGUCAGUUUGAUGAUGGGUUGUUGAACAGCUCCCUCUGUUGGUGGCUGGUCCAGUCAGUUUGAUGAUGGGUUGUUGAACAGCUCCCUCU